UUUGAAUUUGGUUCUAGUUUUUAUUUAACUAUAGGGAUAUUAAAUACAUGGGACUUUUAGGGUAAGGUGAGAGUUAACCCUUAAAAUUUAAAAUUAGCAGGGAAAUUCUAUAUUAUGAUAAAAUAUGUAGAGGGUGCCCACUUCACCAGUAUCGGAGAUUAACAAUUCAGGAAACUGAGAGUUAGUAAGUGGCUAUUUAUAUUUAGAAAAACCUGUGCCAGCUUCUGCGGUUAGACAGGUAAAUAGGGUUAAGACAGUCGGCAAAAAAGAUGGUUAGUAAUUUUGUUGGGGGUAUUUAGGUGGAUUUAAGAGUAAAAUUUUUUAAAUUUCACUUUUAAUCUCAGAUUCCUAAUUUAUGAAUCCAUGAAAUCUUUUACUAAAACCAGGAUUAGAUACCCUGUUAUUGAAGAUGUAAAAUUAGAUUUAUCUAUGCCAGAGUAUUACGAAAUUAAGGUUGAUGCUUUAAUAGUUUUAAAAUUCAAAGGACUUGGCGGUGCUUUAAACCCAUUCAGGGGAACCUGUCCUGUAAACGAUAAUCCACGAAGGACCUUACUUUUUUUGGCUUGCAGCUUGUAUACCGUCGUCGUCAGCUAACCUCUCUAAAGAAUAAAAGUUAGCUUGAAGAAUUUAUUUUCCUAAUGUCAGAUCAAGGUGCAGCUUAUAUUGAAGAAAAAAGAUGGGUUACUCAUAUAUAAUUUUAUUUGAAUCUUUUAGUGAAAAACUUGUAGUGAAAACGGACUUGAGAGUAAUUUUUAGGAAGAGAGUAAGAAUGAAAUAGGUUAUUAAAGUGUGUACAAAUCGCCCGUCGCUCUCGUUGAAAAUUGAGAUAAGUCGUAACAUAGUAAGGGUACCGGAAGGUGCCUUUAGAAUCGA
rnacentral:rRNA from 1 species